AUUGAACGCUGGCGGCAGGCCUAACACAUGCAAGUCGAACGAGCGGCGGACGGGUGAGUAAUGUCUGGGGAACUGCCCGAUAGAGGGGGAUAACUACUGGAAACGGUAGCUAAUACCGCAUACUAUCGGAUGAACCCAUAUGGGAUUAGCUAGUAGGUGGGGUAAUGGCUCACCUAGGCGACGAUCUCUAGCUGGUCUGAGAGGAUGAUCAGCCACACUGGAACUGAGACACGGCCCAGACUCCGACGGGAGGCAGCAGUGGGGAAUAUUGCACAAUGGGCGCAAGCCUGAUGCAGCCAUGCCGCGUGUAUGAAGAAGGCCUUCGGGUUGUAAAGUACUUUCAGCGAGGAGGCGUUACGCGCAGAAGAAGCACCGGCUAACUCCGUGCCAGCAGCCGCGGUAAUUC
rnacentral:rRNA from 1 species